CCUACGGGAGGCAGCAGUGAGGAAUAUUGGUCAAUGGGCGUAAGCCUGAACCAGCCAAGUCGCGUGAGGGAUGAAGGUUCUAUGGAUCGUAAACCUCUUUUAUAAGGGAAUAAAGUGUGGGACUUGUCCUGUUUUGUAUGUACCUUAUGAAUAAGGAUCGGCUAACUCCGUGCCAGCAGCCGCGGUAAUCCGGAGGAUCCGAGCGUUAUCCGGAUUUAUUGGGUUUAAAGGGUGCGUAGGCGGCCUUUUAAGUCAGCGGUGAAAGUCUGUGGCUCAACCAUAGAAUUGCCGUUGAAACUGGGAGGCUUGAGUAUGUUUGAGGCAGGCGGAAUGCGUGGUGUAGCGGUGAAAUGCUUAGAUAUCACGCAGAACCCCGAUUGCGAAGGCAGCCUGCCAGGCCAUGACUGACGCUGAUGCACGAAAGCGUGGGGAUCAAACAGGAUUAGAUACCCUGGUAGUC
rnacentral:rRNA from 1 species